rnacentral:rRNA from 1 species
CGUACACUCCUGCGGGAGACAGCAGUGGGGAAUAUUGGACAAUGGGCGCAAGCCUGAUCCAGCCAUGCCGCGUGAGUGAUGAAGGCCCUAGGGUUGUAAAGCUCUUUCACCGGUGAAGAUAAUGACGGUAACCGGAGAAGAAGCCCCGGCUAACUUCGUGCCAGCAGCCGCGGUAAUACGAAGGGGGCUAGCGUUGUUCGGAUUUACUGGGCGUAAAGCGCACGUAGGCGGACUAUUAAGUCAGGGGUGAAAUCCCGGGGCUCAACCCCGGAACUGCCUUUGAUACUGGUAGUCUUGAGUUCGAGAGAGGUGAGUGGAAUUCCGAGUGUAGAGGUGAAAUUCGUAGAUAUUCGGAGGAACACCAGUGGCGAAGGCGGCUCACUGGCUCGAUACUGACGCUGAGGUGCGAAAGCGUGGGGAGCAAACAGGAUUAGAUACCCUUGUAGUCC